ensembl:lncRNA
UUGAAGCUGAUUCGUGCUUUAUUUAAAGCAGACAGUAGGCAGCAAACAAGGAAGAGUUUGCAAACUACAUCUCGAAGGACGUUUUGUUUGUGUGUUGUCGUUUCUUGUGUUCCAUCUGGGAGGCUCUGUUGAUGUGUAUGGCUACCUGUAAGAGAGCACUGAUGAAGAAUGGAGAAGAUGUAAAAUAGAGCUCGCCAAAGGUUUUAAAAAUAAAUCAAGAAAUGAGUGAAUGAAGGCAGAAGCGCCCAGAAAGAAGGUCAGGACCCCAGUGGAUGCCAGAAACUGCAGAUACUGUCGGAUCCUACUUAUUCCUGCUCCUGAAUGUGCACAAUCAUCCCUUACUUCAAGAACACUGUGAAAUUAAGUAUCCUUACCACAAGAGCCAGCGAACUCAAGGCCAGGACCAGAGUGAAGUAAAUGAUUCACCGUGGUGCAGACCAGAAAGAGGCUCUUUCUUCACAUCGUGCAGGCUCGGGAUUAGCCUUCUUUGGUGUCUCCUUCCCUUCUCCAUCGGGGGAGCUUCCUGUGCCUCACUCCAGCUCAGCCAUUGAAAGAACUAUCCAGGCUCUUCUAGUUACCUGCAUUUCCUCAUGAAAUGACCCAAUGGUUUUGGCCAAAGCGUACAAGUUUGAUGGCAGUGUGUGUUAGCCGGGUGAGCACCUGCGCCUUCCGCAAGCCUUCCAGCAAGCAAGCCAGUGUGAAACGAAAACAACUCUUGUUGGCGGUGUUGACAGAAGGUGCCACUCAAAAAUUAGAGUCAGCUCAGAAAUUAGCUGCCAGAUUCUUAAUCUGAAAGAAAUAUUCACAGCACAGUCGCUCCCUCUCCACUCUGGAUAUUACAGAUACAUCUUUCUGAUUGAACACUGACUGAUAAAGAAGUGAUAUUUGAGGACAGUUCCUACAAAGAGCAAAUCCUGAGCACGCUAUAAAAUUUAGAGGAAAGCAUGGACGUGAGGACUGAGAAAUGGAAACAAUGAGGAGCUCUGAGGAGUCCAGUGUCUGCCUUGCCAACGUGGGUGUGUAAUAUUUGAAGUAUGGAGAUGAGGACAACACAACGUAGUAUACUUUGCUGCUAUGUUUUGUUUGUUUGUUUGCUUGCUUGGUUUUUUUCCAUUUAGUUUAUUGGUACAUUUUAGCUAUACAAUACGGUUACAUUCAUCAUUGGGAUCUUGUAUCUUUACGUGGUGCAUCUUGGUUCUUAUUUUUUUCCCCAUUCCCCUGACCUCCUUUCACCCCCGCUACCCUUCCCUAUUUACAAAGACUUUGUUUCCAUGUUUUUCCUUUUCUCGUAUUUUUUCCUUUCCCUUCUUUCCUUUCCCCUUCCCCUCCCACUUCCCCUAUUCCUUUAGAUAUUUUCUUCCUAUUUCACUUGUUUUAACUAUAGAAGUUGGUUUCAGUAACUUAGGCCUCCAGUGUUGAAAAAGAAUGGGAGCAUGACUGAGGCCAAACCAGUGUCAUAUUAAUGUGAUUGGACAGAAACUCGCAGGCUGCCCAGAUAUUCUCAGCAAUUCAUCUCUCCUUUCCUCCAAGUAUCUGCCUGGACAGGUUAGGAUCCUAGAGGCCCUCCUCAUCUCAGUGCUGUUGCUUUAUAAGAGCUUAAAGGGAAUUCAUGAUGAGAGGAGCUUCCUGUUGUAUUAGAAAUAAAUAGAAGUGCUUGGUAGUCUUCAUUUUUUUCUGGAAAUCCAUGUACAGAGUCUCUUUUUCCUCUUCUAACUUCUUGUGUUCAUCUAGAGGGACACCACCGAGGGCCUUCAUCCAUCCUGUUACAGAUUAUAGACUGGGAAGCAGAUUUCCAAGGCACAAAUUUAAUUUACAAUAACUAGACACUGGACACAAACAACUAUUAGCAAAAGGCACAAAGGAACAACAUACCCCAUCUGAUGUGGAAUCAUUGGAACACAGAAAAAUAAUUUGAAAUAAACACAGUAAAUGUACUGAAAGAUAAAGGAAGAUGCCUUAACUCUUUUCUAUGAAAAAAGGAUAUAAAGAAAUAUGAACAAAGAACAGGAAAUCACAAAAAGAACCAUAGAAAUACAGGAAUGAAAAAUGAUAGAAAUAAAGAGCACAAUAGUUAGAAUAAACAAUAGGACAUAUGGAGAUUAAAAGAAGAUGAGAUUGAUGAAUUUUGGCAGGAAGCUGGAGAGAAAGAUUAUGAGAUUGAAAAUAUAAGAAGAGCUUCAAUGGACAGAUAUAAAAAUACCAGUAUCUGAGUAAAAGAAAUCCCAGAAAGAGGAAGAAAAUAGAAAACUGCCAAAGAAAUAAUUAAGAUAAAUUUUCUAGAAUUAGAAAAAGUGCUGAAAUGGAUCAAAUUUGAAAAGAUUAGGACAAGGAAACAACACAAAUAAGGACAACAUCACAUCUAGAUAAAGUGAAAUUUAAGGACAAAAAAGGUGAAACUAAAACUUUCAAAGAGAGAUCACCUACCAAGAAACUACACUGACCUUGUGUUGUUUUUUUUUACAAUAGUGGAAUCUAAAGGCCAAAAGUGUACAGGUUCUAAAUUUGUGAGAAAAAAAAACCCUAAAGGUGUAUAUUUACCCAAAUCUUCAUUUAAAUAUGAGGACAUACACAAAAUAUUGUGAGCCAUACUGGCCCUGCUUUUCUGUUACCCAAGCCACACACUAGAAAUAUACUUGAAAGAUCUCACUGAGUAAAAUAAAAAUUCAGAAGGAUCCUGUAAGUGAUAUAAAAAUGAAAGAAAUCAAAUAACUUGAUCAAAUUUAUUUUCUUAAAACAAGCUUGAGUAUAUGGAAAUUAUAUUCAUAACUCAAAC